UUUUUAGGGAGACCCACUUUUGAGUUAGUUAGAAACACUUAGUUAAUAACUAAUAACUCAAAAGCCAUCCCGAGGUCGAUCAUUAGUCAACAGUGCAAGCUUUCAAACUAUUUUUGGUUCACCUCAAUUGUCUAACAUAGACUUACAAGAAAAAUUAAUUUGUUACCUCUGGAUAACAGACUAAGCUUAUUCAUUUUUCAACUAAUAACUAUACUUUUUGGUGAUUAACAGCAUCUAUAAGGGAAUAAAGUUUCAGCAUCUUGUGAGCCAAAGCAAGAAUGCUGGGAAAUAUCCAGCAAAAGAACCUUGAAAACUGCAUAGAAACGCGAAAUUUGUCAGGUAGUUAACUAUUAACAGCAGUUAACACUUCCAUAAAAAGCAGCAAUGA
rnacentral:misc_RNA from 1 species